rnacentral:rRNA from 1 species
CUUAAAAUAAAAUUAAAAAUUAUAAUUUUUAAAUUUUAAUAAAAUAAUAUUAUACUGGUCGUGAAGAAAUAAAUUAAAAAAUUAUUAAUUUAUUUUUAUAAAUUAAUGAUUAAAACUAGGGUUAGAUACCUACUAUUAUUAAAUUAAAUUUAUUUAAGUAGUAAAUGAUUAAUCAUUAAACUUAAAUUUCAUGGCAGUAUUUUACUCCUUGCAGAGGAAUUUGAAUAAUAAAUGAUAAUCCUCACUAUUAUUUACUUAAAUUUAUUUUAUGUGUGGUUGUUUAAAUGAGUAUAAAACUAUAAAUUUUAAAUCAGAUUUUAUGUAAAAAUAAUUAAGAUAUUUUAAUUAUAAUUUUUAAAUUAUAAUCAUAAGAUUUGCAUGUAAUAUAAUGAUAAUUAUAUGAUGUGGUUUUAAAAUAUGUUCAUAUUGUCCGUCACUCUCAGAGAU